UUUAAUAUCAAUGUGAAUUUUAAAAAACAGAAGGAAAAAAACUUUGCAGGCUAUAUUAGAUAUCAGAGCUCAAGGAAACGCCUCUGUUAAUGUUGAAAAGAUGGCAAAAUAGGUGCUGCCUGCUUAAUUUCAAAAAACAAAACAGAGGUGUAUGUACAUGUCUGUAUUAGUUUUUUUUUUAGUUUCUCAAGAAAUUGGUCCUCGUUCUCUGCCAUAUGUUGAACCUUGCAAAUAAAGAAACAGAUGAGUAGAAGAGACAAAAGAAAGCGAGUUUGCUGGACUUUUAGCGUAAGAAGGUGACGAAACCCGCCAGCCAACUGCCAAUGUCACAAUUAAAGGGUGAAAGAAACAGCCGAACUUUGUUUGUUUCAUUGACCACAAGAAAGAACCCUUGAAGACGUCAAAGAAGAUCGUACGUCGACACCUACUUUCAUCUCUUCCCCUCUCCUUCGCA
rnacentral:lncRNA from 1 species